rnacentral:rRNA from 1 species
ACGGGUGAGUAACACGUGGGAACGUACCCUUUUCUACGGAAUAACCCAGGGAAACUUGGACUAAUACCGUAUGUGCCCUUCGGGGGAAAGAUUUAUCGGAAAAGGAUCGGCCCGCGUUGGAUUAGCUAGUUGGUGGGGUAAAGGCCUACCAAGGCGACGAUCCAUAGCUGGUCUGAGAGGAUGAUCAGCCACAUUGGGACUGAGACACGGCCCAAACUCCUACGGGAGGCAGCAGUGGGGAAUAUUGGACAAUGGGCGCAAGCCUGAUCCAGCCAUGCCGCGUGAGUGAUGAAGGCCUUAGGGUUGUAAAGCUCUUUCACCGGAGAAGAUAAUGACGGUAUCCGGAGAAGAAGCCCCGGCUAACUUCGUGCCAGCAGCCGCGGUAAUACGAAGGGGGCUAGCGUUGUUCGGAUUUACUGGGCGUAAAACGCACGUAGGCGGAUCGAUCAGUCAGGGGUGAAAUCCCAGAGCUCAACUCUGGAACUGCCUUUGAUACUGUCGAUCUGGAGUAUGGAAGAGGUGAGUGGAAUUCCGAGUGUAGAGGUGAAAUUCGUAGA